rnacentral:misc_RNA from 1 species
AAAAAAUUCAACACAAUUCCAUCCUGCCAGGCUGCCACUGUCCACACUCCACACUUCACACAGUAACAGACACAGAUUUAAAAUAGUAGACGCCAGACAGCAGUAACACAACCUGAAAAUUAAGUCUAAACAUAAUAAUAACUAGUCAUCAAUCCUCAAAAGUUGACGAUUCUGGUUCCUGUUUUCCAAACAACCCUUUCUUAAGGAGGCAGUCCCAGUAUUGCGUCAAUGGUAAUAAACACAGCCACAAUGAAUACAUUUUACCUUCCACGAUCCAUCUUCAUUUUCUUCAAGUUUUUCAUAGUGAUUCCAAACAAGUGAUCGAUGCAUGAUGAAAUCUUCCUUCCUCCAAUUUUACAUGUCAUCAAUGCAAAGUUCUUUUCCAAGUUUAGCAAAAUCUUCUUCAAGUUGCUCAAGAAAAUCUAAUCUUCCUCAAUACUUAUGGGUUGUGGCUCACUCCGAAGCCAAUCUUGAAGGCACACUAGAGCUUGUACCAAUCUAGGAGUUAAUGAACUCCUAAAUGAAUCAAGUAUGCACCCUCCAGUACUAAAAGCACAUUCAGACGCCACACUUGAAACGGGAACACAUCUCGAGCCAUCUCAGAA